rnacentral:rRNA from 1 species
AACGAACGCUGGCGGCGUGCCUAACACAUGCAAGUCGAACGGGGAUAGGGAGCUUGCUUCCUAUUCUAGUGGCGCACGGGUGAGUAACGCGUAGAUAAUCUGCCUGACGAUCCGGGAUAACAUCUCGAAAGGGGUGCUAAUACCGGAUAAGCCCACGGGGUCUUUGGACCUUGCGGGAAAAGGGGGGGACCUUUUGGCCUUCUGUCGUCAGAUGAGUCUGCGUACCAUUAGCUAGUUGGUAGGGUAAAGGCCUACCAAGGCUACGAUGGUUAGCUGGUUUGGGAGAAUGAUCAGGCACACUGGAACUGAGACACGGUCCAGAAUCCUACGGGAGGCAGCAGUGGGGAAUUUUGCGCAAUGGGCGAAAGCCUGACGCAGCAACGCCGCGUGAGUGAUGAAGGCUUUCGGGUCGUAAAGCUCUGUCGAGGGGAAAGAAGUGUAUUGUGGCUAAUAUCCGCGAUACUUGACGGUACCCCUAAAGGAAGCACCGGCUAACUCCGUGCCAGCAGCCGCGGUAAAAC